rnacentral:rRNA from 1 species
AACGAACGCGGGCGGCAUGCCUAAUACAUGCAAGUCGAACGAUCACUUCGGUGGUAGUGGCGCACGGGUGCGUAGCGCGUGGGAAUCUGCCCUUGGGUUCGGAAUAACGUCGGGAAACUGACGCUAAUACCGGAUGAUGACGUAAGUCCAAAGAUUUAUCGCCCAGGGAUGAGCCCGCGUAGGAUUAGCUAGUUGGUGGGGUAAAGGCCUACCAAGGCGACGAUCCUUAGCUGGUCUGAGAGGAUGAUCAGCCACACUGGGACUGAGACACGGCCCAGACUCCUACGGGAGGCAGCAGUAGGGAAUAUUGGACAAUGGGGGCAACCCUGAUCCAGCAAUGCCGCGUGAGUGAUGAAGGCCUUAGGGUUGUAAAGCUCUUUUACCCGGGAUGAUAAUGACAGUACCGGGAGAAUAAGCCCCGGCUAACUCCGUGCCAGCCGCCGCGGUAA